AUUGAACGCUGGCGGAAUGCUUUACACAUGCAAGUCGAACGGCAGCACGGGGCAACCUGGUGGCGAGUGGCGAAACGGGUGAGUAAUACAUCGGAACGUGCCCCAAUCGUGGGGGAUAACGUAGCGAAAGUUACGCUAAUACCGCAUACGAUCUACGGAUGAAAGCGGGGGAUCGCAAGACCUCGCGCGAGUGGAGCGGCCGAUGUUCAGAUUAGGUAGUUGGUGGGGUAAAGGCUCACCAAGCCAACGAUCUGUAGCUGGUCUGAGAGGACGACCAGCCACACUGGAACUGAGACACGGUCCAGACU
rnacentral:rRNA from 1 species